AUUGAACGCUGGCGGCAGGCCUAAUACAUGCAAGUCGAACGGUAACAGGAAGAAGCUUGCUUCUUUGCUGACGAGUGGCGGACGGGUGAGUAAUGUCUGGGAAACUGCCUGAUGGAGGGGGAUAACUACUGGAAACGGUAGCUAAUACCGCAUAAUGUCGCAAGACCAAAGAGGGGGACCUUCGGGCCUCUUGCCAUCGGAUGUGCCCAGAUGGGAUUAGCUAGUAGGUGGGGUAACGGCUCACCUAGGCGACGAUCCCUAGCUGGUCUGAGAGGAUGACCAGCCACACUGGAACUGAGACACGGUCCAGACUCCUACGGGAGGCAGCAGUGGGGAAUAUUGCACAAUGGGCGCAAGCCUGAUGCAGCUAUGCCGCGUGUAUGAAGAAGGCCUUCGGGUUGUAAAGUACUUUCAGCGGGGAGGAAGGGAGUAAAGUUAAUACCUUGGCUCAUUGACGUUACCCGCAGAAGAAGCACCGGCUAACUCCGUG
rnacentral:rRNA from 1 species